GGAGGGGGAGAGGUCAUCACCCGGGGCCUGGCUCGCGUCUUCCGCUGCUGGUGCACCCAGGGUCCGUGGUGUCCCGGCGCCGGAGUGAAGGACACCUGGGAAGAUCGCGUCCUGGGUGCACAGGGCCUGUGCAGAGAAACACACGGAGUAGAGGUGGUGGGAGUGUUAUCAGCGCGCUGUAUACUUACCCCGGACUUGUGAGCGUCAGCCCGGGAUGUUUCCAGCGCGGCUCUCCGCUCUCUCAGCUAGGCCUGCUUCUCCACCAGGUCGCGGAUCUGCUUCUCCACGGCCUCCAGCUCCAGCUGCACCGAAUGUAGCUCGAACGUGUCCUCACCUCACCACGAGUAUUAGCAACGUAAGCGAGAUUAGCAGCAACCACGCUGGCGAUGCAAACUGGCUAUAAGCUAAUAGCAGACUCGGGAAAUCAAAAUAAAACUAGUGAUAACAAGGCGCUCUGAUUGCUUUUGUUGUAGAAUGCUAUAGGGGAUAUAAUCACACAUUAUAGAAACAAAAAUGAUAGUGUAUAAAACUGAUCUUAAGAUAGAAAAUAGACGAUAAGGAAUUAACUCGACGGAGCUCAAGCUCAAAACACGCAGUAAGAACAGUCUCAGCAAAGCGCAUGCAAAAAAAUUGACAAUCGUGAUAUUGAUAAAUGUAUAAAUGAAUGAAUUUUAUAUUUUAAUAAAGAAACAAGUUUGGUUCAUUUGAAUUUAUUUCUCUCUCUCUCUCUCUCUCUCUCACACACACACACACACACACACACACACACUAUAACACAUAUACAGGUGCUGGUCAUAUAAUUAGAAAAUCAUCAAAGAUUUAUUUCACUAAUUCCAUUCAAAAAGUGAAACUUGUAUAUUAUAUCCAUUCAUUACACACAGACUGAUAUAUUUCAAAUGUUUAUUUCUUUUAAUUUUGAUGAUUAGAGCUUACAGCUCAUGAAAGUCAAAAAUCUGUAUCUCAAAAUAUCAGAAUAUUUACAAUUGAGUUUGAAUAAAUGACCAUCCCUACAGUAUAAAUUCUGGGUAUCUCUUGUUCUUUGAAACCACAAUAAUGGGGAAGACUGCUGACUUGGCAAUGAUCCAGAAGACGAACAUUGACGCCCUCCACAAAGAGGGUAAGUCACAGAGGGUCAUUACUGAAAGGUGUGGCUGUUUACAGAGUGCUGUAUCAAAGCAUAUUAAAUGCAAAGUUGACUGGAAGGAAGAAUUUGGGUAGGAAAAGGUGCACAAGCAACAGGGAUGACUGCAAGCUUGAGAAUACAGUCAAGCAAAGCCGAUUCAAACACUUGGGAGAGCUUCACAAGGAGAGAACUGAAGCUGGAGUCAGUGCAUCAAGAGUCACCACGCUCAGACGUCUUCAGGAAAAGGGCUACCAAGCCACUUCUGAACCAGAGACAACGUCAGAAGCAUCUUAACUGGGCUGUGGAGAAAAAGAACUGGACUGUUGCUCAGUGGUCCAAAGUCCUCUUUUCAGAUGAAAGUAAAUUUUACAUUUCAUUUGGAAAUCAAGGUCCCAGAGUCUGAAGGAAGAGUGGAGAGGCACAGAAUCCAUGUUGCUUGAAGUCCAGUGUGAAGUUUCCACAGUCAAUGAUGAUUUGGGCUGCCAUGUCAUCUGCUGGUGUUGGUCCACUUUGUUUUCUGAAGUCCACAGUCAACGCAGCCAUCUACCAGGAAAUUUUAGAGCACUUCAUGCUUCCUUCUGUUGACAAGCUUUAUGGAGAUGCUGAUUUCAUUUUCCAGCAGGACUUGGCACCUGCCCACACUGCCAAAGGUACCAAAAGCUGGUUCAAUGACCAUAGUGUUACUGUGCUUGAUUGGCCAGCAAACUCGCCUGGCCUGAACCCCAUAGAGAAUCUAUGGGGUAUUGUCAAGAGGAAGAUGAGAGACACCAGACCCAACAAUGCAGAAGAGCUGAAGGCCACUAUCAGAGCAACCUGGGCUCUCUCAACACCUGAGCAGUGCCACAGACUGAUCGACUCCAUGCCACGCCGCAUUGCUGCAGUAAUUGACCCUUCGCUAAGCCACGCCCGAAAACCGCCACAGGCCAAUCGUGGCUUAGCAACCGUUACUAGGCGCGGGAGGUCUGUCAAGCUUUCGAGCGAGGGAAACAUGCCGAAGCAUUGUGCAUAUGGAUUGUGCAAAUCUGAUACCCGAUAUCCUAAAAGUUUGGAUGGGGUGGUAGAAUUUUUUCCCUUCCCGAAACCUAAAACCCAAGGGGAGAAAUGCCGGGCGUGGAUCAAGCAGUGUGGGAGGCCCCAUUCACAACUAAAUGUCGACAGGAUUAACAAAAACACCUACGUUUGCUCCAAGCAUUUUGUUAAUUGACGGCCUACCCCUGAGUACCCCAAUCCGAUCGAGGCUCUCCCGGGGUUAGUUCUAAGGAGGGAACAUCAGGGGGCUUGCCGAAGAUCUCCAAGGAAAAGGAAGCCAGCACCUCAAACUCCACUGAGGACACAUUUCACAGUACACCACAACAGAGUGACUCUACCUAUGAAGAACAUGAUAUGGGCGACCAUGGAGAGGAACUGAGAACUCUGCAGGACACAUUAGCCAAUCACAAGCAAGACAUCAUAAAUCUGAAGCUUCAACUCGAGGCAAAGGAUGGCCAACUCCAUCAUCUUCAAAAGGAACUUCAGGAUGCACGUACCUCAGAUGCUUUAAACCCUGAGAUUUUAAACCAAAGCCAUGUGCCUGAUUAUUUUCACUACUGCACAGGGUUUUCUUAUGAGCAAUUUAACAGCUUGUGUCAAUUUUUUAACAUUCCAACUGAUCCAUAUGCACCACAAACACACAUUCCUCUCUCAUACAAACGUGUCAAUAAUUAGAUCAAACAACUUUCACUGCGUACUCAAUUGUUACUGACCUUAAUGAAAUUGAGACAAAAUUUGGACCACAAAGACCUAGCCUUCAGAUUUAACAUCUGUUUACAGAGUAUCAGCACACUGAACAACUCCUGGGUGGACUAUAUGUAUGAUAGUCUUUGCAAAUUGUCUAUUUGGCCACACAGGGAUGUUAUUUCUGAGAACAUGCCCGCUAAAUUUAAGGAAGAAUUUCCGAAUACUUUUGCCAUCUUAGACUGCACUGAACUUAAGAUUCAGAGACAAAGCUCACUAGUGUUUCGGAGUCAGACUUACUCCACCUACAAGUCUACUAACACCCUUAAGUCUCUAGUGGCCUGUGAUCCACGUGGUGCAGUCGUUUAUGUGUCUGACCUCUUCACUGGAGUAAUUUCUGACAAAGAGAUUUUCAAUGAGUGCAACAUCCUUGACAUUUUGAAGGGGUACAUUCAGUGUGGCUAUCUCAAUGUAGGAGAUGGCUUGAUGGUUGAUAAAGGCUUUCUAAUAGAGAAGGAGGUUGAGGAGAUUGGUUUGCGACUUAACAUUCCACCUUUUGCAAGAGCAAACAGACAGAUGCCACAUGCAGAUGUUGAAAUGACCAAAAGAAUAGCCAAGCACAGGGUUCAUGUUGAAAGAGCUAUUGUAAAGAUAAAGAAGUUUAAAAUUGUGUCAGGCCAAAUCCCGAUUUCCCGGCUUGUGAACAUAAAUCAAAUAUGGUAUGUAGUCAGCAUGCUGUCUAACUUCCAGCCACAUGUCAUCAAAGAUUAAGGUUGUGUGUGUAUUAGAGCUGAGUGGUCAAGGAAGAUAACGCUGACGUGGUGCACUGUCCUGCACUGCCCUGUACAAGUUGAGUGAAUUACAUAUA